UUACUUAUUCUUUUGGAGGGCUUCGUUUUCAUAUCCGAUUUGAAUAUUUAGGAUUAGAGACUAAAUUGUGAGGGAAAAUUUAGAGCCAAAGGCACAAUGAAUUCUAAAGGUAUUGUUGAAGGGAGGGUUUGUCUCUUCUCUAUCGACCUUCAUCACUGACGAUGAUUAACUUCUGACCACAAUAGAAUGAAUUUGAAUUUAGUGAAGGCUAUUAUAUAAUUUCAUGUACCUUUGGCUCUUUAUUAACUUGUUUUGCAGAUGCAUGUAGUCAUUGACUAAUUUGAUUCAAUUCCAUAACUGUCAAUUGUUAAGAAAUCAACGAAAAUGGAGAAAAGCUCUGUCUACAAAAUUUUCAAAGGUCAGUAAUGAACUUAUGUUUUGCCAAUUAUUUUAUUUACCUUUUAGCUUACUUGUGUUUUAAUCGGAAUUGGCAAAAAUGAGUUAUUUUAGCUCUUUCUAAAGGCGCAGUUUGUCUAAUUUUGAAAAGUUAACUAAAACAAGAAAUAAUUAGGCUUGCACUACGGGCAAUGAUAUUGAUAAAUCAUUAUCUGCAUAUUUUUUUGAUGAACUUGUAAGCAAAUAUGUUUGGAUAGUUCAAUGAAUGGCCAGCAAAAGCCAUUUUGCUUUACUGAUAAAUGAUAGUUGUGAUUUCAGUACUAAAAAGUUGUAAACUAGGUUUGUGGUAAUAGAAUAUAAGUCUUUUCUUGCUAGAAAAUAAUGUAUUUAUAUCAAUGAAUUACUUUUGGUUUGCAAUUCAACAAAUUUAUUUAAUGUUUAGAUUGGUUGACAUCACACACUUUUAAACUCUUUGCAAAUUACAAUGCAUGAUGCUCUAAAUUUCUUUCUUGAUAAAGAAGUAUUUGGAAUCCUAAGGCCUCUUCAAUGGACUAAGAGGUACAAUUGAAGCUCUGAGAUUUUCUUCAAAUACAAUGUUCAACCACUUGAGGAAGGAGGGCGCAGAUCUGUAAAGCUUGAAGGAUAACAAACUGCUUGUCCUCAAUCUUCAAAGCGCCAACACCUUGGAAAGCUGUUUUUUAAGUCUUAGUAGCUGAAUAUAAGCAUCCUGAUUGGAGUUUUCGAGAAAAGUUCCUAGCUUAAUUUAUCAGUUGUGAUAACGUAUGCUUAUUUUUCAUUUUUAUUUCCAUUCGUUCGUUAUACUUGAUUAAUUUGUUUUUAUUUUUCACUUUUCUAUCUUAUUCUUUUGUUAAUAUUACUAAAUGUGAACCAUUACUCUAGGUUUCAUAUGAUGUCAAUUGUCAUCUUGAAACUGUUUAUGCUACACUUCUUUGAUGACAGAAACGUGGAAGCACAAAAAGUUCAUGUUCCAACUUUGGAGUUCUCAUCGUAGCAGAGAAUAUCCUAAGAAGGUAUGUUGGCUAUCAGUGCAAUCUGCAAUAAUCUGUUGUUGUUAUAUUUUGGCGGGAAACUUUGUCAGUAAAUCAAUAAAUAAUGUUUGAACAUAUUUAGAAUCUUCCUUAACAGAUUCCAACUCUUUGCCACAAAUUCCUAUCAGGUUGCAAACUAUUUCUAGUGACGUACCGUAAGAAUCAAAUGCUCAAAUGAUAUGUUAAAUUAGGUUGUGCCUGCUUGCCGGUUCUGUUUCUCAAGCCAUGAACAUUUUUAUUCAAAGAUAUGGAUAUCCCCUAAUUGUUCAAUAAGUGUACUGCUUUAGUUCCACUUUAGAGAUAAAUAUGGUGCCAAGUAAAGACGAAAUAUAAAGCAUAAAUGAUUUAAAAAGUGGAACAAAAAAUACUAUAUACAUCCAAAAAGGAAUAUUGAGAGAAGGAAUAAGAGAAUUUGAUGAUGGUUAGCAUAUACAGGAGGUGCAACUGAUCCGUGGAAGUUUAAUACAAAGUUCUCCAGUUUGAAUUAAAGGAUAUUUACAAACAAUCUAUUUUGGCUAAAGCUCUAUAUGAGUUAUCUCAGUUAAUGUUACACUUUCUUUUCUUCUUCUAAUAAGUCCAAUUUUACCAAAUUUAGCCAUUUAGUGAGCGAUAUAUUUACGAAUACUUGUGGUUAAAUUAUCUAACCCCCCAUGUAGACCACUAGGAAUUGGGUCGUAACAUAUUCUUACGAAUGACAUGACGAAUAAUAAUAAUAACUUAACUUUUUUAUACUCACUCAGUGACUCAUAAAAAAUUAUCUCUGAUAUCUGUUAUUCAAGGAAAAUGUACCAGUAGUCACUCUUCGCAUCAAAGGACUUCUUCUUAGAAUUAGAUCUCUGUUGUUUUGCAUCUUUUAAGUUCUUAAAAUUUGAGUUAAUGUGUUGAGUUGACUAAGUAGUUUAAGAUUACUCUUUCUUUAUGUUAUCACUUCUAUAAAAUAGGGAGAGUACAUGAUUAUUACCAGGAUUUUUUUGGAAUUUGCAUUGGUUCUUACAAAAACAUUUGACUCCUUCAAAUGAGGCUAAACUGAAAACAAGUUGAUAACUUGGUUUUCUAUCUUACUUGGAGAGAGUUUGAAAAGGAAAUGAAGCUGGUGUGAGUUAAAUUCUUCCAAUCGUUCCACUGUUCAAUUUUAGGGAGAUAAUGAUGCCUCAAGUUGACAUAUAUGGAUGUGGACCAAGUUUCAAUUAAUGUGUGCAUGCAAAUUCAUGAUUUCAUGACCAAAUGACAAUCAAAUUAUUCUCCUGAAUGGUUUAUGUGGCCUCUGUACAUUUUGAUACACAGUUGGUCAUCUUUUCUUUUGACUAUACUUCUAAGUAAUUUUGUGUAUAAAUUUUGCUAUAAUGUAAGAGUGAAUACAUGCUAUAUUGUGGUUUGGUAUGUUUUAUAUGUGAUAGUUCUAUUAGUCAACGUGAUAAGUUACUACUUAGAGUGCAUUAUGUAUCAUGAAAUGUCCGACAUAAAUCUAAGAAGGUAAGAUAUAUUGUCCUUUGUUCGAGGAUCUUCAGUUGGAAUCAAUUUGUAAGCACAACUUCUCUGCAACAUUUGUUGCAAAAUGAUUGAUAGAGAUAGAGCAGUUUUUUUGCAGAUGAAUGAGAUCAUAUUUUCGAGAGAAAGAGUCAGAAAGAAGAAUUAUACAUUUACCUUUAUGCAUCUUAAAAUUAUACAAUUUAAUUUGGAGAACUUCAAUUGCCACUUCAUCAAUAUUUUUAAUUUUUUUUAAUUUUUUAUGUUCUUGUUUGCUCACGGUAUCUCUUUCAUGGAUUUUAGCUUGCAUAUUUUCUCUUAAGUUGUCGUGAAGGAUGGAUUGGUCUUUCGUUGUUACGGGCAUUCAGAGAAUAGAGGUAACAAAGUAGAGAAGAAAUGAAUUUGAUUUCACCUGCAUGACCGUCAAGAUCCUCAAGCCUAAACUUUGAGCAAGUUCAUUCCUAAUUUGCUUCUAUAUAUGAUAUUUUCAAUGGUUAUUUGAGUACAUUGUGUAUCUAAUGUAUCAUAUGGUAACCAUAUAUCUAUGAGUAAAUAUUUUGUUCCACACAUGUAUCUAAAUAAUAUCCAGCCAUAUUAUCAAUAUCUGAUUUAAUACUCCUUUACAUGCAUCUAUUUCGCUUUCUCCUAUUUCAUUUCAAUACAAAGUUAUACAAUGUUGUCUUUAUCUACUUUGGUUGUUAUUUAUGUGCAUCUAUUUUCUUCUUUGUCAAAGUG
rnacentral:lncRNA from 1 species